CAGCCCUGGCUUACAGAUGAUGGCUACAACUGAGCUUCUCAAUGAUAACAAUGCCUUCCCCUCUUCCCAUUCCGUUUGAUAUGAUUGACUCAGUCUCUUUCCCAGCAAGAAGGACUUAUUUCUCUAUUAGAAGAAGGAGAAAGACAGGCAUUUUCCUGAAUGUGAACCUCAGCAUUAGUGUGAAUGCUAUGAAGGUAUGAAGCAACUUCAGAAUAUGAUCACACAAUACAUAUGUGUCCCUCCUAUAACACCUG